rnacentral:rRNA from 1 species
UACAGAGGGUGCAAGCGUUGUUCGGAAUUAUUGGGCGUAAAGCGCGUGUAGGCGGCAUGGCAAGUCGGGUGUGAAAGCCCUCAGCUCAACUGAGGAAGUGCGCCCGAAACUGCUUUGCUUGAGUGCUGGAGAGGGUCGCGGAAUUCCCCAAGUAGAGGUGAAAUUCGUAGAUAUGGGGAGGAACACCGGUGGGCGAAGGCGGCGGACCUGGACAGUAACUGACGCUGAGACGCGAAAGCGUGGGUAGCAAACAGG